rnacentral:rRNA from 1 species
UUACGGCCGUAUCACAUUAAAACACCAGUUCUCGUACGAUCACCGAAGUUAAGCAACGUUGAGCCUGGUCAGUACUUAGGUGGGUGAGCACUUGGGAGUACCAGGUAUUGUAA